ensembl:lncRNA
GAACUCCUCAAAAUGGAAGGGGAUGUGGUUGCUAAGUGUAUUUCCUCAAACAGCUAUGUGAUCCACAGCUGCCUGACCUGUGCUAUUUCCUCGAGUUUGGAAGUCCCUUGUGGGUUUCUUCCAAAUGCAGUUUCUUCUGCCUUGAGAAAUUAGGACUCCACAAGUUUCAAGAUGAAGACCUGUGGAUCCCUGGAAGCAAGCAUGGCCACCAUGCACCAAAUUUGAGCAUCAGACAUGGGUCUGGUCUGUCCCUCACAGAUGGUUGAGGCAAAGCAGAUAAUGAGCUAGAUCUUUCCAGCAGACCAGCCCCACAGGGGACUCGUUCCAAAAGCUUAAGUGUUAUUAUCCCUUCCAUCUGCUCCCCAUGGAGCUUGAGGUAAGCUAUUCUUAAUGCCUUAUGAG